UACGGAGGAUGCAAGCGUUAUCCGGAAUGAUUGGGCGUAAAGCGUCCGCAGGUGGCGAUGUAAGUCUGCUGUUAAAGAGUCUAGCUCAACUAGAUAAGAGCAGUGGAAACUACAUAGCUAGAGUACGUUCGGGGCAGAGGGAAUUCCUGGUGUAGCGGUGAAAUGCGUAGAGAUCAGGAAGAACACCAGUGGCGAAGGCGGCAUCCUGGACCGGCAUUGACGCUGAGGCGCGAAAGCCAGGGGAGCAAACGGG
rnacentral:rRNA from 1 species